rnacentral:lncRNA from 1 species
CCGCGAGCUGCAGCGGGCAGAGCCCCGCGUCCGCCUGGCGCUAGGCCCCGGCCCGGGGGCAUGACUCUGUUCGGCGGCGAGGCCGGGGGCUGGAGAUAUUUGGACAUGGCCAGAGAACCCAAGCCGAGCCGAGCCAGGCCUGGACAGAAGCGGCAGCAUGGCGGUACCCUCUACCACAGUAACUGUGACCUGGACUAUGAGCUCUACAG